CCCACAAGCCAUUCCGGUCUGCCCGGACAAGUGGGGACCAGAGUCCGUGAACGUCGCGGUUAGUCAGUGUUUGUACAGAAUAUUAACGUCAACUCUCCGCCAACAUGUAGAGAAGAAACAUUUUCAUCGUUUUGGUGGUAGUUUAACGACAUAUUGCGCAUAAACAGAGCUAAUUUAGCAGCAGUUCACCACCCUUUCUGUCCCUCUGCCUCUUAAUCAGCAACACCUGCAGCCUCACAGCAGGAGUCUGCUCCUCUUUCUGGUCUUCUUCUCUACUCAUCUUUAGGAGUUUUAGAACUUUUCUGCGUGUUUUUACGUCCAGGAUCCUGACAUCUUCAACUUCCUCAUUAGCUACCCUUCAUCUUACUCCAGAGUCACUGAAAGUUUACAAGAGCCUGGAGGGAAACAAACAUUCAACUCUGGAGUCUACCGACUAAACAUAGUGUUGUUGUCACUGGACGGGGUCUUUAAAUGAGGAAAUAAUGAACCAUCCAUCCAUCCAUCCAACCACUUGGAGGGUUGUGGGGUAAGCUGGAGCCAAUUCCAACUGACACUGGGUGAGAGGACGCGUACAUCCUGAACAGGUCACCAGCCCAUCACAGACCAAAGCAUUUUUCUCCACACUUGCGACCAUCAACCGGCAUUUCCUGCCUGAUACCGCUCUGCUCUGCAUAUCUAUAAUCUGUAGACUGCAGCACUGUGUCCUUUUACCACUGUUCACAAAACUGUCAACUACACAUCACUGCUGGUGUGUUUGUUGUGUGGGGAAUCAGCAGGAUGUUCAAUUACACUGGCUCAGCUGGUGUAUCCAGACACACCCUCACAUGGCUACACACUAUGUGAAGCAAAAUCGCUUCAUUCAAGCCUUGCCGGUCAUGCUGCUUUGGCUUGAUCCCUCAACAAGCCACAUGCCUUGGCUAAAUUACAACUAGCAGAGAACAAAGAGCAACUGAGUGUGAGAGAGGAAGACUGUCAUGACUCUAUUUACAAUAAAAACUCAACUGUGUCCCCCCAUGUUUAAUUCAAGCAAUCAAGACAUAUUAAUGUGUCUUGUAUGUACAUUUUAAGGAGCAGGUUGGAUUUAGAAAGUUGAUGAGGCAGACGUCUGUAUUUAAAGAUGUCUUUGCCAUUUUUCAGUCAGAGUUGCUUCUUUUACAAUAAACUUAGAACCUUAGGGACAGAGAGAGUAACUGCUCCCCAAAAGGGGCUACAGCACAAUGUCUGCAGUGCAGCUAAAAUAUAGCCGAGCUAUAACUCUUGACUAUUACCUUUUUCAGAGUCUCAUAUACCCUAAAACGUUUUUUAUUAUGUAGAACUAACAGUCACAGCACUUUUUUCUGUCUGUCAUCUGUGCUUGCCGUUUUCUGUCUGUAUGCAAUUACAAUACAUUUAUAAAUGUGUACUUGUAAAACACAUUAAGACCCAACAUCAGCAUCACCUUUGUAACAGUGUCUCAGUUUGCUGAUACAGUAUGUGUGAAUGUUUAUUGGGUCUUGUGUGACUGUCUUUUGUCUGUGUGUCUGUGUAGUAUCAACUACAGGGUAGAACAGAGUGUUGAUAUUUUUAAAGGCAGACUCAAAACCUACCUCUUUAGUUUGGCUUUUAAUUGAAUUCCUAUUUAGUUUUCACCUUGUUUAUAUUUAAGCAUGUUUACAUAAUUUUUAUACUUCUUUCGGGUUCUCCCUUUAGGGGUCGCCACAGCAGAUCAGCUGCCUCCAUUUUGUCCUAUCCCUUGUGUCCUCUUCUGUCCACCAACUGUCCUCAUGUCCUCCAUCACAACAUCCAUGAUCUUUCUCUGUGGUCUUCCUCUUUUUCUACUGCCCGGCAGCUUCAUCUCCUUUGUCUAAUAUAAUCACUAUCCCUCGUCUGCAUGUGACCAAACAAUCUCAACCUUGCCUCUCUUACUUUAUCUGCAAACCUUUCAACCUGCGCUGUCCAUCCUGUCUCAGAAAAUGUCUGCAUCUUUAGCUCUGUCACCUCCAGCAUUGCCUCUCACUACCAUCUUGCAGACCUUCCCUUUCACUUUUGCUGCUAUCCUUCUGUCGUACAUCACCCAUGACACUUGUCUCCACCCACUGCACCAUGCCAGGGUUAGAGUUCUCUACUUCAUUUCUCUUGUGCACUAUAUAUUGCGUUGCAUGGCUGAACUUAUUCACUUUUGCCACCUCUACCCCUUGCAUAUUCACCGUACCACCUGUCUCACUGUCAUUCACACAGGUAUUCUGUCUUGCUCCUACUAACCUUUAUUCCUCUUCU